rnacentral:lncRNA from 1 species
GGGUUUCACAUGAGGUUCUGCCGCAACCAAAUCCCAAAAUCUUCUAUACGGAAAAUAGAAGAAAACGUUGAAAAGAAAACAGAAGGAACGAAAGAAGAAAAAUAUCGAAAACAAAGAAGAGACGGAAACAAAGAGGAAAAAAUGUUGAGAAAACAAGAAGAGAAAACAUUGAAAGUAUAAUUGGUAUACCUUAAAGGUAAGUAAUUUACUUUUCCCUUUCAAAAUCUUGAAAUUCUACGAUUUGAUUUUAUAUACAAACAAAGACAACAAAGUUUGAUUAUAACUCUAAUGGAGUUCGUAAGAAAUUACACUCACAUGANNN